GGGUUGUGAGGUUAAGCGACUAAGCGUACACGGUGGAUGCCCUGGCAGUCAGAGGCGAUGAAGGACGUGCUAAUCUGCGAAAAGCGUCGGUAAGGUGAUAUGAACCGUUAUAGCCGGCGAUGUCCGAAUGGGGAAACCCAGUGCAAUUCGUUGCACUAUCGUUUGAUGAAUACAUAGUCAAACGAGGCGAACCGGGGGAACUGAAACAUCUAAGUACCCCGAGGAAAAGAAAUCAACCGAGAUUCCCCCAGUAGCGGCGAGCGAACGGGGAGCAGCCCGGAGUCUGAAUCAGCUUGUGUGUUAGUGGAAGCGUCUGGAAAGUCGCAGGGUACAGGGUGAUACUCCCGUACACUAAAGCACACAGGUUGUGAACUCGAAGAGUAGGGCGGGACACGUGGUAUCCUGUCUGAAUAUGGGGGGACCAUCCUCCAAGGCUAAAUACUCCUGACUGACCGAUAGUGAACCAGUACCGUGAGGGAAAGGCGAAAAGAACCCCGGCGAGGGGAGUGAAAAAGAACCUGAAACCGUGUACGUACAAGCAGUAGGAGCCUCUUUAUGGGGUGACUGCGUACCUUUUGUAUAAUGGGUCAGCGACUUAUAUUCUGUAGCAAGGUUAACCGUAUAGGGGAGCCGCAGGGAAACCGAGUCUUAACUGGGCGUUAAGUUGCAGGGUAUAGACCCGAAACCCGGUGAUCUAGCCAUGGGCAGGUUGAAGGUUGGGUAACACUAACUGGAGGACCGAACCGACUAAUGUUGAAAAAUUAGCGGAUGACUUGUGGCUGGGGGUGAAAGGCCAAUCAAACCGGGAGAUAGCUGGUUCUCCCCGAAAGCUAUUUAGGUAGCGCCUCGUGAACUCAUCUUCGGGGGUAGAGCACUGUUUCGGCUAGGGGGUCAUCCCGACUUACCAACCCGAUGCAAACUACGAAUACCGAAGAAUGUUAUCACGGGAGACACACGGCGGGUGCUAACGUCCGUCGUGAAGAGGGAAACAACCCAGACCGCCAGCUAAGGUCCCAAAGUCAUGGUUAAGUGGGAAACGAUGUGGGAAGGCCCAGACAGCCAGGAUGUUGGCUUAGAAGCAGCCAUCAUUUAAAGAAAGCGUAAUAGCUCACUGGUCGAGUCGGCCUGCGCGGAAGAUGUAACGGGGCUAAACCAUGCACCGAAGCUGCGGCAGCGACACUAUGUGUUGUUGGGUAGGGGAGCGUUCUGUAAGCCGUUGAAGGUGGCCUGUGAGGGUUGCUGGAGGUAUCAGAAGUGCGAAUGCUGACAUAAGUAACGAUAAUGCGGGUGAAAAACCCGCACGCCGGAAGACCAAGGGUUCCUGUCCAACGUUAAUCGGGGCAGGGUGAGUCGACCCCUAAGGCGAGGCCGAAAGGCGUAGUCGAUGGGAAACAGGUUAAUAUUCCUGUACUCGGUGUUACUGCGAAGGGGGGACGGAGAAGGCUAUGUUGGCCGGGCGACGGUUGUCCCGGUUUAAGCAUGUAGGCGGAUGUUCCAGGUAAAUCCGGAACGUUACUAACGCUGAGGUGUGAUGACGAGGCACUACGGUGCUGAAGUGACAAAUGCCCUGCUUCCAGGAAAAGCCUCUAAGCAUCAGGUAACAUCAAAUCGUACCCCAAACCGACACAGGUGGUCAGGUAGAGAAUACCAAGGCGCUUGAGAGAACUCGGGUGAAGGAACUAGGCAAAAUGGUGCCGUAACUUCGGGAGAAGGCACGCUGAUAUGUAGGUGAAGUGGUUUACCCAUGGAGCUGAAAUCAGUCGAAGAUACCAGCUGGCUGCAACUGUUUAUUAAAAACACAGCACUGUGCAAACACGAAAGUGGACGUAUACGGUGUGACGCCUGCCCGGUGCCGGAAGGUUAAUUGAUGGGGUUAUCCGUAAGGAGAAGCUCUUGAUCGAAGCCCCGGUAAACGGCGGCCGUAACUAUAACGGUCCUAAGGUAGCGAAAUUCCUUGUCGGGUAAGUUCCGACCUGCACGAAUGGCGUAAUGAUGGCCAGGCUGUCUCCACCCGAGACUCAGUGAAAUUGAACUCGCUGUGAAGAUGCAGUGUACCCGCGGCAAGACGGAAAGACCCCGUGAACCUUUACUAUAGCUUGACACUGAACACUGGUCCUUGAUGUGUAGGAUAGGUGGGAGGCUUUGAAGUGUGGACGCCAGUCUGCAUGGAGCCAUCCUUGAAAUACCACCCUUUAAUGGCUGGUGUUCUAACGUGGGCCCCUAAUCGGGGUUGCGGACAGUGUCUGGUGGGUAGUUUGACUGGGGCGGUCUCCUCCUAAAGAGUAACGGAGGAGCACGAAGGUCAGCUAAUCCUGGUCGGACAUCAGGAGGUUAGUGCAAUGGCAUAAGCUGGCUUGACUGCGAGCGUGACGGCGCGAGCAGGUGCGAAAGCAGGUCAUAGUGAUCCGGUGGUUCUGAAUGGAAGGGCCAUCGCUCAACGGAUAAAAGGUACUCCGGGGAUAACAGGCUGAUACCGCCCAAGAGUUCAUAUCGACGGCGGUGUUUGGCACCUCGAUGUCGGCUCAUCACAUCCUGGGGCUGAAGUAGGUCCCAAGGGUAUGGCUGUUCGCCAUUUAAAGUGGUACGCGAGCUGGGUUUAGAACGUCGUGAGACAGUUCGGUCCCUAUCUGCCGUGGGCGCUGGAGAAUUGAGGGGGGCUGCUCCUAGUACGAGAGGACCGGAGUGGACGCAUCACUGGUGUUCGGGUUGUCAUGCCAAUGGCAUUGCCCGGUAGCUAAAUGCGGAAGAGAUAAGUGCUGAAAGCAUCUAAGCACGAAACUUGCCCCGAGAUGAGUUCUCCCUGACUCCUUGAGAGUCCUGAAGGAACGUUGAAGACGACGACGUUGAUAGGCCGGGUGUGUAAGCGCAGCGAUGCGUUGAGCUAACCGGUACUAAUGAACCGUGAGGCUUAACCUUACAACGCCGAAG
rnacentral:rRNA from 1 species